GUGAACGCUUCAUAUCAUACAGGAUAAGAUAUAUUUAUAACGCUGCUCUUGAUGCACUUGGGAAAGCAAAGAGGCCAGUUGAGGCACUCAAUUUGUUUCGUGAAAUGCGGGAAGAUAUGUCCUCAUAUCCAGUAAUCCAGAUCUUGUGUCUUAUCACUCUAUUGCUGUAACUCUUGGACAAGCAGGACAUAUGGAGGAACUAUUUUAUGUGAUUGAAAGCAUGCGAUCUCCACCCAAAAAGAAGUUAAAAACUGGGAUUCUUGAGAAGUGAGAUCCACGUCUAGAGCCAGAUAAUAUCAUCUAUAAUGCUGUCCUAAAUGCUUGUGUUAGCUGUAAAAAUUGGGAAGGUGCCCUUUGGGUACUGCAACAGUUGAAGCAGC